rnacentral:rRNA from 1 species
CCCGCACGCCAAUAGACUAAGGUUUCCUGAUCAACGCUAAUCGGAUCAGGGUUAGUCGGGACCUAAGGGGCAGCCGAAAGGCGAACUCGAUGGACAACGGGUUAAUAUUCCCGUACCGGCUUUAACUGCGAUGGGGUGACGAAGAGAUGAAAGCACCGCGAACUGACGGAAUAGUUCGUUGAAGACCGUACGUGAUGAUAGAUGCAGGCAAAUCCGCAUCUUGAGCUGAAAGUCGAUAGUACUGCAAUGCUACGGCAGCGCAGAUAGUGUGCCUAAUUUUACUUCCAAGAAAAACCUCUAAGCAUCAGGUUAAAGCUGCCCGUACCACAAACCGACACAGGUAGUCAAGUAGAGUAUACUAAGGCGCUCGAGUGAUUCAUGGCUAAGGAACUCGGCAAAAUAGUCCUGUAACUUCGGGAGAAAGGACGCUCUCAGCGAUGAGAGCCGCAGUGAAAUGGCCCAGGCGACUGUUUAUCAAAAACACAUGGCUUUGCAAAAACGAAAGUUGAAGUAUAAGGCCUGACACCUGCCCGGUGCUGGAAGGUUAAGUGGAGAUGUUAUUUUCGGAGAAGCAUUGAAAUGAAGCCCCAGUAAACGGCGGCCGUAACUAUAACGGUCCUAAGGUAGCGAAAUUCCUUGUCGGGUAAGUUCCGACCUGCACGAAUGGUGUAACGAUCUGGGCACUGUCUCAGCCAUGAGCUCGGUGAAAUUGUAGUAUCGGUGAAGAUGCCGAUUACCCGCAACGGGACGGAAAGACCCCGUGCACCUUUACUGCAGCUUCACAUUGAUUUUGGGUAAGUAAUGUGUAGGAUAGGACGGAGACUACGAAGCGGGUUCGCCAGGACUAGUGGAGUCAACCUUGAAAUACGUCCCUUUGCUUAUCUGGAGUCUAACGUCUGACGACGGACAGUGUGUGGUGGGUAGUUUGACUGGGGUGGUCGCCUCCAAAAGAGUAACGGAGGCUUCUAAAGGUACCCUCAACACGUUUGGUAAUCGUGUGAAGAGUGCAAUGGCACAAGGGUGCUUGACUGUGAGACAUACAGGUCGAUCAGGUACGAAAGUAGAGCAUAGUGAUCCGGUGGUUCCGCAUGGAAGGGCCAUCGCUCAAAGGAUAAAAGGUACGCCGGGGAUAACAGGCUGAUCGCUCCCAAGAGCUCAUAUCGACGGAGCGGUUUGGCACCUCGAUGUCGGCUCGUCACAUCCUGGGGCUGGAGAAGGUCCCAAGGGUUGGGCUGUUCGCCCAUUAAAGUGGCACGCGAGCUGGGUUCAGAACGUCGUGAGACAGUUCGGUCCCUAUCUGUUGUGGGCGUUGGAAAUUUGAGAGGAUCUGACUCUAGUACGAGAGGACCGGGUUGGACGAACCUCUGGUGCAUCUGUUGUGGCGCCAGCUGCAUUGCAGAGUAGCUACGUUCGGAAGGGAUAAGUGCUGAAAGCAUCUAAGCACGAAGCCUACCUCAAGAUGAGAUUUCCUUUAAGGGUCGUUGGAGACUACGACGUUGAUAGGUUGCAGGUGUAAAGGCGGUGACGUCAAAGCCGAGCAAUACUAAUUACCCUAAAACUUCUGA